GCUGAGAUAGCAAAGUGGUUAAUGCAUUAGACUUAGGAUCUAAUACCAAAGGUUCAACCCCUUUUCUCAGCU
rnacentral:tRNA from 2 species